rnacentral:rRNA from 1 species
GACGAACGCUGGCGGCGUGCUUAACACAUGCAAGUCGAACGGAAAGGCCUCUUUCGGGGGGUACUCGGGUGGCGAACGGGUGAGUAACACGUGAGUAACCUGCCCUUGACUUUGGGAUAACUUCAGGAAACUGGGGCUAAUACCGGAUAGGAGCUCCUGCUGCAUGGUGGGGGUUGGAAAGUUUCGGCGGUUGGGGAUGGACUCGCGGCUUAUCAGCUUGUUGGUGGGGUAGUGGCUUACCAAGGCUUUGACGGGUAGCCGGCCUGAGAGGGUGACCGGCCACAUUGGGACUGAGAUACGGCCCAGACUCCUACGGGAGGCAGCGGUGGGGAAUAUUGCACAAUGGGUGGAAGCCUGAUGCAGCAACGCCGUGUGCGGGAUGACGGCCUUCGGGUUGUAAACCGCUUUCGCUCAUGACGAAGCUUUGUGUGACGGUAGUGGGUAAAGAAGCACCGGCUAACUACGUG